GAGUUUGAUCAUGGCUCAGAUUGAACGCUGGCGGCAUGCCUUACACAUGCAAGUCGAACGGCAGCACGGGAGCUUGCUCCUGGUGGCGAGUGGCGAACGGGUGAGUAAUAUAUCGGAACGUACCUAGAGUGGGGGAUAACGCAGCGAAAGUUGCGCUAAUACCGCAUACGAUCUACGGAUGAAAGUGGGGGAUCGCAAGACCUCAUGCUCAUGGAGCGGCCGAUAUCUGAUUAGCUAGUUGGUGGGGUAAAGGCC
rnacentral:rRNA from 1 species